UGAGGAAUUUUGCGCAAUGGGGGUAACCCUGACGCAGCAACGCCGCGUGAGUGAAGAAGGCCUUUGGGUCGUAAAGCUCUGUCAACUGGGAAGAAGUUAUAAUUAUCUAAUAGGUGGUUAUAUUGACGGUACC
rnacentral:rRNA from 1 species